UCCCUUCUCUUUUUCUUUCUUUCCUUCUUUCUCUCUGCCCUCCGGCUCUUCCCCCUUUAUUCCGGUUUACUUUCCCAGAUCUUUUUCAUUUUUUCUCUUUCUUCUUUCCUUCUUCCUUCAGUUAUCUCUCCUUAGUUUCUCUCUUUCUUCCUUUGCAAGUCCGUCUUUACCAUUCUUUUGCUUCUUUCUACUUUUUCGUCUUCUCUUCCCUCUUUUUUCUUUUCCACAUUCUUUCUUCUGACUUCUCUUCCUUUUCUUUCUCCUUCUUUUCGUUCUUGCUGUGCUGCACUAUAUCAUUACAUCCCUCUUCUCUCCGUUUCCAUCCUUCUGUCUUAUUUACCCCCUGCCGGCAGCUCCCCAGUUGCUUUCGGCGACGCAGCGGAGACCGUCAAAGACAGAACCAUUAGCGCUAAUUACGGGGCAUCAGCGCCCGAGCGCGGUACUCUAAGGAAAGCAGAGGCUGUUAGGGACCUGCUCCGUUCACCGUCUAGAAAUAUUGACGUCGUGCUGAUUAUAUCCUGUAUCGCCUCUUCUUCCAUUCCUUUCUCUUCCCUUUUUCUUCUUUGGUUAGUUUUUUUUCUUUUCUUUUUUUUUUUUUUUUACUUUCCAACAUUCCUUUCUUGUCUUAUUCCUCCCCUUCAGCUAGUCUCCUCUCUGUCUCUUUCUCGCUUUCUUCCUGCAUUUUCCUCUCCUCCUUCUUUCUUCUGUCUUCUAAUUCCUUCACUCUUCACUCUUCUCUUUCCUUCUUUCCUUGCCCGGCCUUAUCUUUGUGUUGCAAUCUUUUCUCUUUAUACAAAAACAGUCGAGCCAUUCUCUUUUCCUUUCUUUUUCGUCUUCACCAAAAUGUUUAACAAAGGUCUGCACCACGCUCGAACUAUAACAUGGACAUCUCUUCAGACAAGAGCUCUCAUUCCUUCUCUUCACCACUUUUCAACAAGACUUACACGGCAUCCCCGAGUACUAAGAAUGCUGCGUUCCUCGUGUCAAUGCAUCCUGGUAAUCUCCUCUGUCAUCUCUUCCUUCUUUCCUGUAUCUUCCUUCUUUCUGCCUUUCUGUUUCUUCUUUGCUUGUUUCUUACUUGCAUAGAUUCCUUCCUUCCCUUUUGCCUUUUCAUCUUCCUUCCUCUCUCAUCUUCCUGUUAGUUUUUUUUUAAUUUAGUUUUCUAAACUGCCUUAUCCCUGCUUUCCUUACUCUUCUCCUUCCAUCCUUGUAUCUUCUG
rnacentral:lncRNA from 1 species